AAUUAAGAGUUUGAUCCUGGCUCAGGACGAACGCUGGCGGCGCGCCUAACACAUGCAAGUCGAACGGAGUUAAGAAGAAGCUUGCUUCAUCUUAACUGAGUGGCGGACGGGUGAGUAACGCGUGAGUAACCUGCCUCAAAGAGGGGGAUAACGUCUGGAAACGGACGCUAAUACCGCAUGACAUAUCGUUAUGGCAUCAU
rnacentral:rRNA from 1 species